GCUCAGUGGGGUCCUGCUCCAGCGACCUCCUCAUCACCCUCGGGAUUACUUGAUUUCAAAGAGCUCGUCCCUGGACCUGAGAAUCAGGCUCCCUUUAAGGGCAAAGACCCGACUUUUGGAAUUCGUUCUAUCACACGUACAGACAGCCUGACGAGUGCAGAAGGGGGACCCACAGGCUGUGAGGGGACACCCGCGGGCCCAUCUCCGUGCACUUCCCUUCGCAUCCCUGCGUGGUGCCGUGAAGGCGGCAUCGCUGGCACACCUGCCCUCGAGUCAGAGCUCCCUCUCGGCCAGCCUGUGGCCUCGGCACGUCACUCAGGGAUCAAGAACCUGCGCUUCGCCCUUUGCUUCGCAGGUGAUGACUUAAACCUCAGUUUCCAAACAGCGCCGCGGAGCAGGCUCAUCCUCCGAGGAGAAAGCAGACUCUUGCCCAGGCUCCUCUCGGCGCUGCUCGCGGGUGACAGAGCUGGGACUUCACCCGAGUCCAGACCUCGGGGUCUCGCGGCAGACCCACCGCCCGCGCCUGCCGGCACGGUUAUAAGUGGGCUUUUCCCUCCUGCCUCAGGGGCCGGGCUCACGGGCCUCGCACACCCACGUCCGCCCGGAGCUCAGCCCCACCUGCGCGCUCCACGGGACUGCGGCGCUCGGUCCCUAAACACCGGCCUCUGCCGGCCCCGACUCCCCCCGCCCCAGCGAAGGGUCCGGGGGCGAGAAGGGAACCGCAGCAAUUUCCCGCUUCCCCUCCAGGGCGCGAGAGCGUUCCUCCCGCCCGGUCCCCAGCGCUGUCACCCCAGGUGCACCCCCUCUACUUUCCGACCUGACCCCGAGGUUGUCAAACCGCUUCCCGGGAUCCCAGGACGCCAGCGGGGAGGCGGGGGCAGCAGCUGCACAUGCGCAGAAAACGUCCGGAGCCCCCUUCCCAGAGUGCAGCGCGGUUUACCCCACCGCUUCAAGACUACAUUUCCCGUCAGCCUCUGCGACCACUCUUGCGGCGAGUCCAGCCAUUUCCAUGCCCGAGGACGAAGUACUUUUUUUUUUUUUUUUUUUUUUUUUUUUUUUUUAGCUAAUGGUCUUUUUAUUGGGGGGAAAAAAUAG
rnacentral:lncRNA from 1 species